GAAUGCCUAGGCUCUCAGAGGCGAUGAAGGACGUGAUAAGCUGCGAUAAGCAAUGGGGAGUUGCACAUAAACUGUGAUCCAUUGAUUUCCGAAUGGGGCAACCUGUAUAUUCCUUAGGGAAGGCUAACGGGGGGAACUGAAACAUCUAAGUACCCGGAGGAAAGGACAUCAACCGAGACUCCGUUAGUAGUGGCGAGCGAACGCGGACCAGGCCAAUGCCAAUUCUCUUUUUAACUGGAACCAUCUGGAAAGUUGGGCAUAAGUGGGUGAUAGCCCCGUACAGGUAAGAAAGAGUUUUGGAUUCGAGUAGGGCGGGACACGUGAAAUCCUGUCUGAACAUGGGGGGACCACCCUCCAAGCCUAAGUACUCCUCAACGACCGAUAGCGAACCAGUACCGUGAGGGAAAGGUGAAAAGCACCCCGACGAGGGGAGUGAAACAGUACCUGAAACCGAACGCCUACAAUCAGUUGGAGGGUCUUUACGGCCUGACAGCGUACCUUUUGUAUAAUGGGUCAUCGACUUGGUCUCACAAGCAAGCUUAAGCCGUUAGGUGUAGGCGUAGCGAAAGCGAGUCUUAAUAGGGCGAAUGAGUUAGAUGGAUCAGACCCGAAACCGAGUGAUCUAGGCAUGAC
rnacentral:rRNA from 1 species